rnacentral:rRNA from 1 species
UACAGAGGGGGCAAGCGUUGUUCGGAAUUACUGGGCGUAAAGGGCGCGUAGGCGGCCUGCUAAGUCGAACGUGAAAUCCCCGGGCUCAACCCGGGAACUGCGUCCGAGACUGGCGGGCUUGAAUUCGGGAGAGGGAUGCGGAAUUCCAGGUGUAGUGGUGAUAUGCGUAGAUAUCGGGAGGAACACCUGUGGCGAAGGCGGCUUUCUGGGCCUUACCUGACGCUGAGACGCGAAAGCGUGGGGAGCGAACCGG